GAAUUGGAAACGAGCCGAACAAAAGAUUGCGGGCAAGGCGCGACAUUCUUUUGGGUGUGGUCGAUGGCAGUUGGCAGUUGGCAGCUGGGAGGCGGCAGGAGGCGGGAGGCUGCACAAAUAUUGCGCAUACGCCGCGUGCAUCGAUGCAGCAAACAAAUCAGCAAAUGCCCACAGCUCGGCUGGCAGUCACUUAAGAUCUCUGUGGUUCAGUGGCUCAGUGGUUUAGUGGUGCCGCGGUGCCGUGGUGCAGUGGUGCAGUGUGGUGCACUGGUUCUGUGUCAGCAGGGCUUGCCGUCUUGCCCACUAACUGCUUAGCUUGGCUCACUUAAUUCUUGCAUAAUUUGCAUGCCCAUGCAAUGGCUACAGCCGGAGUCCACAUCGAGCUGUUUAUUAUAAUCAUCCUCUCAUUGAUUUCAGUCGACUUUAACGGGCCUUAAUGAGCAGCCCUGCAGGUACAACAGAUAAUUUGCGAGCCAUUACGUUGCCAACGGCCUAAAAGAAAAAGAAAAAAGAAAAAAAAAAAAAAAACAUUUUACGCACACGAAUCGAGUGUGUAAUCCAACAUUUACAUUUCCUUCUGAGGCGACUAUUGGGUUUAUUAUUGGAUUUUAUGCUUUUGAGCUCUAAACUCUCUUUUUGAGAAAUAUUGCCAGAGGAUUGCAAUAAAUACCCAACGCUAAUGGAAUGAUAGAGCUAGUUAAUAUUUUCCAUCAAAAAUGCUCAAGCUCCUUCAUUAAUUCAUAUUGUGAUCUGUUUGCAUUUACUUAUCGGAUCAGUUUUUGUUAGUAAUACUUAUUUGAUUUUCUAUAUUAUUGAAUAUAUUGCAUAAUUGCCUCGAGUAGAAAGCCGAGAGCAGUAAAAUGAAUCAUUUGGCAAGCAUCUCAGCUUUAUGCUGCUCGUCUUCUAUUUUUUGUGAAGGUUACUUUACUUUUAUUUAGAUAUAAUAUAGUUCAUAAUAUUUUGGUGGUUGUUGACAGCAAAUAUUUGUCAGAUACAAAUACUUUUGAUGGCUGUUGAACGCACUCAUGAACCUUUUCAAUAUGGGAAUUCAGCUAAUAAUGAAGAAGAACCAGAAAUUAUUAUACGAAGCUAGAAGAAAUUUAGAUUAAUUAGAACAAAGAGCUAAAUCAGUUCGAUAGGCUAUCUGUCCGUUCGGCAGUUUGUCCAUUCGUUUGCCCUAGAGCUAUAUAGUGUGAUUUUAUAAUUUUCUGCUCUAUCCCAUUCCAUUGCCUUAUUAUCGAUUAAAAUCGAUUACCUAAUUUAGCUUUAUAAUACCAAAAAAACCUCUAUAGCUUCGACUGCUGAAAUAGUAUAAGAUAGUUCACAUUCUUAAAUAGAAUAAAAAAAAAAAAAGGAUUUCAAAUUGUAGAUUUUUUAAGGAAAUGCAAAAGUCAAUAAAAAAGUUCAUGCAGCUCGAACGGACUUAGGGUAUCACCUAGUCGUGCACUCUCGACUGGACCACUCCCACUUGAUUUCAUCUGAAAUGAUGGCUAAAAAACGUUUUGUAAACAAGUUGAGCUUUCGCCAAGAGAGCCAAAUUGAUGUUAAUUGGGUUUACUAGGAAUAAUCUUGAAUGAUGUUAUUCAUGGAAGUAUUUCCCCAAGCCCCAAUUGUAGCUUCGAAAUGGGCUCUAUUAAUGCAAAAUAUAUUUUGAGCUGUAUAAGUCUCGAUUGCUAAUGCUUAGUGCUUAAUGCCUCCCUUCUACACGGGUCGCAAACUGGAACCUGGCAACUUUGGGAAGUACAAUCGAAACCUGUAGGACCACCCCACCCGACCCCGCUCUCUCAUAUAAUAUCUUUUAAAAUUUGCAGCUAAUGUAAAUAUGCAAUUUGCGAGAUAUUGAAGAUCGCAGCUGAGACUCGACUCGGAACCGGCACAGCAAGAUUUCAAAUGCUAAAGCCAAUUAAUUGUAAGAUCAAUAAUACCGCCAACGAGCCGCAAUAAAAGACUUGUACGGAUAGGCAAACAAUUAACUCAAUUCAACUCUGUCGUACAGCCCGAAUUUGAUGAGUACUUCCAUUCAGAAUAGCUCGGUCUCUCUAUGGGCGACCUUCUCGGGAGUAAAUAGCUAAUGCCACACGCCAACAACUAGACAGCAGCAACAACAACAACAACAACAACAGCAAUAGCAACAACAACAUCAAAUUGACGUAGCUCUUUCUAAGCACACAAUUCAACAGCAACAAGUUGGCAAAUAUUUUUUUCAUUAUUUACAUAUAAUAUUUGUUAUUUGCGCAACGUUUCAUCGUUAGCCGUUUCGUCGUGGCGGCGCUCCGACGUCGUCGUUCCGUUGCUCAGUUUUCCCUUAGUUGGCCCGCACAAUGGCGGGAAAAUUAGCACAGGUGCUUCAAAAGGCGAGUUGUAGCCGUAUAAAAUGUGUAUUAAACGGGUCUAGCAGGUCGUUCCUCUGUAUGAUGACCGAAACCCUGAUCUUCUCAGACUGCCUCCCACCUUAGAAACAGGACCUAUCCCGCAUUAGGCGUUAAGGUUGCGGAGCAUUGCCAUCUUUAUUCCUGCAUCCAGGACAUGCCUCUUCCGCCGUAGAACCGGCCGAUGUCAAUAUUCUAUUCAUGCAUUGUUAUUUUGAUCCUCUGUUAAGCACGGUAAAGUCAAUAAAACCUACAUAAAUAAAUUAAACAUAAUAAUUAUAGUCACAAAUUUAGUUAAGAAGAAACUAAUUUCGUUGGUUCCGAAUAGUUCGAUAUAAAACAUAUUCUGUUUAGAUUUGUGUAAUGUAGGUAUACUCAAAUUUAUAUUUAUUUUAGAAUAGAAGCAUAUAUUGUUGAAUAAUUGUUGUUACUAUUAUUAUGAAUAAUAAUUCGAUUCACUGAA